AAUCAACGCUGGCGGCGUGCCUCAGACAUGCAAGUCGAACGAUUAAAGCUCUCUUCGGAGAGUGCAUAGAGUGGCGCACGGGUGAGUAACACGUAAGUAAUCUACCCUCGAGUGGGGAAUAACGUCCGGAAACGGGAGCUAAUACCGCAUAAUGCAGCGGAAUCAUAAGAUGACAGGUGUUAAAGAUUUAUCUCUUGAGGAGGAGGUUGCGGCAGAUUAGCUAGUUGGUAAGGUAACGGCUUACCAAGGCUACGAUCUGUAACCGGUCUUAGAGGACGGUCGGUCACACUGACACUGAAUAACGGGUCAGACUCCUACGGGAGGCAGCAGUCGGGAAUUUUGGGAAAUGGGCGAAAGCCUGACCCAGCAACGCCGCGUGAAGGAUGAAGUAUUUCGGUAUGUAAACUUCGAAAGAAUAGGAAGAAUUAAGGACGGUACUAUUUAUAAGGUCCGGCUAACUACGUGCCAGCAGCCGCGGUAACAC
rnacentral:rRNA from 1 species